AACGAACGCUGGCGGCAGGCUUAACACAUGCAAGUCGAGCGCCCCGCAAGGGGAGCGGCAGACGGGUGAGUAACGCGUGGGAACGUACCUUUUGGUUCGGAACAACUCCGGGAAACUGGAGCUAAUACCGGAUAAGCCGUAACGGGGAAAGAUUUAUCGCCGAAAGAUCGGCCCGCGUCUGAUUAGCUAGUUGGUGAGGUAACGGCACACCAAGGCGACGAUCAGUAGCUGGUCUGAGAGGAUGAUCAGCCACACUGGGACUGAGACACGGCCCAGACUCCUACGGGAGGCAGCGGUGGGGAAUAUUGGACAAUGGGCGCAAGCCUGAUCCGGCCAUGCCGCGUGAGUGAUGAAGGCCUUAGGGUUGUAAAGCUCUUUUGUCCGGGAAGAUAAUGACUGUACCGGAAGAAUAAGCCCCGGCUAACUUCGUG
rnacentral:rRNA from 1 species